rnacentral:rRNA from 1 species
AACGAACGCUGGCGGCAUGCCUAACACAUGCGAGUCGAACGAGACCUUCGGGUCUAGUGGCGCACGGGUGCGUGACGCGUGGGAACCUGCCCUUAGGUUCGGAAUAACUCCCCGAAAGGGGUGCUAAUACCGGAUAAUGUCUUCGGACCAAAGAUUUAUCGCCUUUGGAUGGGCCCGCGUUGGAUUAGCUAGUUGGUAGGGUAAAAGCCUACCAAGGCGACGAUCCAUAGCUGGUCUGAGAGGAUGAUCAGCCACACUGGGACUGAGACACGGCCCAGACUCCUACGGGAGGCAGCAGUGGGGAAUAUUGGACAAUGGGCGAAAGCCUGAUCCAGCAAUGCCGCGUGAGUGAUGAAGGCCUUAGGGUUGUAAAGCUCUUUUACCCGGGAUGAUAAUGACAGUACCGGGAGAAUAAGCUCCGGCUAACUCCGUG